CUGGUCUUAGCGAAGUGGUCACCUCAACAGAGUCAAAAUCUGUUCAGGUGUCUUGGACCGCGCAGGUUCGAAACCUGCCGAUUACA